GAUGAACGCUGGCGGCGUGCCUAAUACAUGCAAGUCGAGCGAAUGGAUUAAGAGCUUGCUCUUAUGAAGUUAGCGGCGGACGGGUGAGUAACACGUGGGUAACCUGCCCAUAAGACUGGGAUACUCCGGGAAACCGGGGCUAAUACCGGAUAACAUUUUGAACCGCAUGGUUCGAAAUUGAAAGGCGGCUUCGGCUGUCACUUAUGGAUGGACCCGCGUCGCAUUAGCUAGUUGGUGAGGUAACGGCUCACCAAGGCAACGAUGCGUAGCCGACCUGAGAGGGUGAUCGGCCACACUGGGACUGAGACACGGCCCAGACUCCUACGGGAGGCAGCAGUAGGGAAUCUUCCGCAAUGGACGAAAGUCUGACGGAGCAACGCCGCGUGAGUGAUGAAGGCUUUCGGGUCGUAAAACUCUGUUGUUAGGGAAGAACAAGUGCUAGUUGAAUAAGCUGACACCUUGACGGUGCCUAACCAGAAAGCCACGGCUAACUACGUGCCAGCCGCCGCCGUAA
rnacentral:rRNA from 1 species